AUUGAACGCUGGCGGCAUGCCUUACACAUGCAAGUCGAACGGCAGCACGGGAGCAAUCCUGGUGGCGAGUGGCGAACGGGUGAGUAAUAUAUCGGAACGUGCCCAGUCGUGGGGAUAACGUAGCGAAAGCUACGCUAAUACCGCAUACGAUCUACGGAUGAAAGCGGGGGGAUCGCAAGACCUCGCGCGAUUGGAGCGGCCGAUAUCAGAUUAGGUAGUUGGUGAGGUAAAGGCUCACCAAGCCGACGAUCUGUAGCUGGUCUGAGAGGACGACCAGCCACACUGGGACUGAGACACGGCCCAGACUCCUACGGGAGCAGCAGUGGGGAAUUUUGGACAAUGGGCGCAAGCCUGAUCCAGCAAUGCCGCGUGCAGGAUGAAGGCC
rnacentral:rRNA from 1 species